AUUGAACGCUGGCGGCAUGCCUUACACAUGCAAGUCGAACGGCAGCAUAGGAGCUUGCUCCUGAUGGCGAGUGGCGAACGGGUGAGUAAAGUAUCGGAACGUGCCCAGUCGUGGGGGAUAACGUAGCGAAAGUUACGCUAAUACCGCAUACGAUCUAUGGAUGAAAGCGGGGGAUCGCAAGACCUCGCGCGAUUGGAGCGGCCGAUAUCAGAUUAGGUAGUUGGUGGGGUAAAGGCUCACCAAGCCGACGAUCUGUAGCUGGUCUGAGAGGACGACCAGCCACACUGGGACUGAGACAAGGCCCAGACUCCUACGGGAGGCAGCAGUGGGGAAUUUUGGACAAUGGGCGAAAGCCUGAUCCAGCCAUGCCGCGUGCAGGAUGAGGGCCUUCGGGUUGUAAACUGCUUUUGUACGGAACGAAAAGGUUUGGCCUAAUAAGCUGAGCUCAUGACGGUACCGUAAGAAUAAGCACCGGCUAACUACGUGCCAGCCGCCGCGGUAA
rnacentral:rRNA from 1 species